UUUAUGGAGAGUUUGAUCCUGGCUCAGGAUGAACGCUGGCGGCGUGCCUAAUACAUGCAAGUCGAGCGAACGGACGAGAAGCUUGCUUCUCUGAUGUUAGCGGCGGACGGGUGAGUAACACGUGGAUAACCUACCUAUAAGACUGGGAUAACUUCGGGAAACCGGAGCUAAUACCGGAUAAUAUUUUGAACCGCAUGGUUCAAAAGUGAAAGACGGUCUUGCUGUCACUUAUAGAUGGAUCUGCGCUGCAUUAGCUAGUUGGUAAGGU
rnacentral:rRNA from 1 species